rnacentral:tRNA from 1 species
GGUCAGCAUUGGCCUAGUGGUUAGAGUGUUGGACUAGGACUUGGGAGAGCCAAGUUCAAACCCUUCUGCCGCCA